rnacentral:rRNA from 1 species
CAACCNGCCGCUUACUCGGGGAUAGCCUUUCGAAAGAAAGAUUAAUACCCGAUGGUAUAAAGAGUUCGCANGUUCUCUUUAUUAAAGAAUUUCGGUAAGCGAUGGGGAUGCGUUCCAUUAGAUUGUUGGCGGGGUAACGGCCCACCAAGUCUACGAUGGAUAGGGGUUCUGAGAGGAAGGUCCCCCACAUUGGAACUGAGACACGGUCCAAACUCCUACGGGAGGCAGCAGUGAGGAAUAUUGGUCAAUGGACGCGAGUCUGAACCAGCCAAGUAGCGUGAAGGAUGACUGCCCUAUGGGUUGUAAACUUCUUUUAUAAGGGAAUAAAGUGAGGGACGUGUCCCUUUUGUAUGUACCUUAUGAAUAAGGAUCGGCUAACUCCGUGCCAGCAGCCGCGGUAAUACGGAGGAUCCGAGCGUUAUCCGGAUUUAUUGGGUUUAAAGGGUGCGUAGGUGGUUUGAUAAGUCAGCGGUGAAAGUUUGCAGCUUAACUGUAAAAAUGCCGUUGAAACUGUCGGACUUGAGUGUAAAUGAGGUAGGCGGAAUGCGUGGUGUAGCGGUGAAAUGCAUAGAUAUCACGAAGAACUCCGAUUG